rnacentral:rRNA from 1 species
GCGAGUGAAGCGGUAACAGCUCAAAUUUGAAAUCUGGCUCCUCGGGGCCCGAAUUGUAAUUUGUAGAAGAUGCUUUGGGUCUGGGCCUGGCCUAAGUUCCUUGGAACAGGACGUCGUAGAGGGUGAGAAUCCCGUAUGCGGCUGGCGCCCGUGCCCGUGUAAAGCUCUUUCAACGAGUCGAGUUGUUUGGGAAUGCAGCUCUAAAUGGGUGGUAAAUUUCAUCUAAAGCUAAAUAUUGGCCAGAGACCGAUAGCGCACAAGUAGAGUGAUCGAAAGAUGAAAAGCACUUUGGAAAGAGAGUUAAACAGUACGUGAAAUUGUUGAAAGGGAAGCGCUGGCAACCAGACUUGGGCGCUGUUGAUCCGCUAGGGUUCUCUCUAGGGCACUCGGCAGCGCGCAGGCCAGCAUCGGUUUGGGGGGUUGGAGAAUGGCUGGUGGAAUGUGGCUGUCUUCGGGCAGUGUUAUAGCCACCGGUGGCAUGCAGCCUCCCCGGACCGAGGACCGCGCUUCGGCUAGGAUGCUGGCGUAAUGGUUGUCAGCGACCCGUCUUGAAACACGGACCAAGGAGUCUAACAUCUAUGCGAGUGUUUGGGUGUUAAACCCAUACGCGGAAUGAAAGUGAACGUAGGUGAGAACCCGUAAGGGUGCAUCAUCGACCGAUCCUGAUGUCUUCGGAUGGAUUUGAGUAAGAGCAUAGCUGUUGGGACCCGAAAGAUGGUGAACUAUGCCUGAAUAGGGUGAAGCCAGAGGAAACUCUGGUGGAGGCUCGCAGCGGUUCUGACGUGCAAAUCGAUCGUCAAAUUUGGGUAU